rnacentral:ncRNA from 1 species
UAACAAUAAUAGCAAGCUUGGACGAAAGUCAAGGACGCAAAACUAUGGGCCUUCCGGUAUAACUGAUGACAGCCAGGCCACCGAA